GUGGGGAAUUUUGGACAAUGGGCGCAAGCCUGAUCCAGCAAUGCCGCGUGCAGGAAGAAGGCCUUCGGGUUGUAAACUGCUUUUGUACGGAACGAAACGGUCCUGGCUAAUAUCCGGGGCUAAUGACGGUACCGUAAGAAUAAGCACCGGCUAACUACGUGCCAGCAGCCGCGGUAAUACGUAGGGUGCGAGCGUUAAUCGGAAUUACUGGGCGUAAAGCGUGCGCAGGCGGUGCUGUAAGACAGGCGUGAAAUCCCCGGGCUCAACCUGGGAAUUGCGCUUGUGACUGCAGGGCUGGAGUGCGGCAGAGGGGGAUGGAAUUCCGCGUGUAGCAGUGAAAUGCGUAGAUAUGCGGAGGAACACCGAUGGCGAAGGCAAUCCCCUGGGCCUGCACUGACGCUCAUGCACGAAAGCGUGGGGAGCAAACAGGAUUAGAUACCCUAGUAGUCC
rnacentral:rRNA from 1 species